UAGUUAUGGUAUCCUGUCUGUAUUUUGC
rnacentral:sRNA from 1 species